UACGUAGGGGGCAAGCGUUGUCCGGAUUUAUUGGGCGUAAAGAGCGUGUAGGCGGCCUGACAGGUCUGCUGUGAAAACUCGAGGCUCAACCUCGAGAUGUCGGCGGAAACCGUCUGGCUAGAGUCCGGAAGAGGAGAGUGGAAUUCCUGGUGUAGCGGUGAAAUGCGCAGAUAUCAGGAGGAACACCGGUGGUGUAGACGGCUUACUGGACCACGACUGACACUGAGGCACGAAAGCGUGGGUAGCAAACAGG
rnacentral:rRNA from 1 species